rnacentral:rRNA from 1 species
UACGGGGGGGGCAAGCGUUGUUCGGAAUUACUGGGCGUAAAGCGUGCGCAGGCGGUUUGUUAAGACAGGCGUGAAAUCCCCGGGCUCAACCUGGGAACGGCGCUUGUGACUGGCAGGCUAGAGUACGGCAGAGGGGGGUGGAAUUCCACGUGUAGCAGUGAAAUGCGUAGAGAUGUGGAGGAACACCGAUGGCGAAGGCAGCCCCCUGGGCCGAUACUGACGCUCAUGCACGAAAGCGUGGGGAGCAAACAGG